GGGGAUUACAGGCACGUGCCACUACACCCAGCUAAUUUUUGUACUCUUAGUAGAGAUGGGGUUUCACUAUGUUGGUCAGGCUGGUCUCGAAAUCCUGACCUUGUGAUCCACCCACCUCGUCCUCCCAAAGUGCCAGGAUUGCAUGCGUGAGCCACCGCACCUGGCCAAGCUCUUUCUUAAAGAUGAUCAAGGCAUCCCCCAUUUAAGCCUCCUCAGGGGCUCCCCUGAUCUAUAAGGACUGAGUGCCAGCUCCUCUGCUGCGUGCCACACGAGGCCCUUCUGUGGCCUCUCUCCUCUUAGGCCUGUACCUUUCCCAUCUCCUCCCAUGUGCACCUCCUGUCCAGCCUCCCUCUCACUGCGUUAUGUCUGCAGUGCCUUCACACAAGCUGUUUCUUUUGCCUGGAAUGACGCUUCUUCCUCCGUUGAAUUAAUCCACCCCGUAUUGCUUCAAUAUUCAGCUCAAUCAGGCCCCUCUUGGGAGCCUUCAUUAACUGUUGGGCCAGCAGUGAGCUAUAGACGCACUUUCCCUGCUCCAUGGCUGUGCUCAUAUCACAGUGGGCUCUUACCAUGAACUUCCUAUCAACCUCUUGCACUGGACCUCAGACACUCUGAGGACAGAGCCCCAGUGUGAUUCAGCUCCAUACCCCUAUAUCCACAUGACUCAGCUCCGUACCCCUAUAUCCACGACUCAGCUCCAUAUCCCUAUAUCCACAACUCAGCUCCGUACCCCUAUAUUCACAUGACUCAGCUCCGUACCCCUAUAUCCACAUGACUCAGCUAUGUACCCCUAUAUCCACAUGACUGAGCUCUGUACCCCUAUAAUCCACGACUGUCCGUACCCCUAUAUCCACAUGACUCAGCGCCGUACCCCUAUAUCCACAUGACUCAGCGCCGUACCCCUAUAUCCACAUGACUCAGCUCUGUACCCCUAUAAUCCACAUGACUCAGCGCCGUACCCCUAUAUCCACGACUCAGCUCCGUACCCCUAUAUCCACGACCCAGCUCCGUACCCCUAUAAUCCACAUGACUCAGCUCCGUACCCCUGUAUCCACAUGACUCAGCGCCGUACCCCUGUAUCCACGACUCGGCUCCAUACCCCGAUAUCCACGACUCGGCUCUGUGCCCCUAUAUCCACAACUCAGCGCUGUACCCCUACAUUCACGCAACUCAGCUCCGUACCCCUAUAAUCCACUUUACUCAGUGCCGUACCCCUAUAAUCCACAUUACUCAGCGCUGUACCCCUAUAUCUACAUGACUCAGAGCCUUACCCCAUAUCCAUGUGACUCAGCUCCUCACCCCUAUAUCCACGUGACUCAGCACCAUGCCCCUAUAAUCCACUUUACUCAGCGCUGUACCCCUAUAUCCACCGCACCUAGCGUGUGGGAAGUUCGUGCAGAGUUGUUUCUUUUUUUGAGACAGGGUCUUACUCUGUUGCCCAGGCUGGAGUGCAGUGGCGUGAUCAUAGCUCACUGCAGCCUUGACCUCCCGGGCUCAAAAAGAUUCUGCCACUUCAGCCUCCCGAGUAGCUGGGAUGAUGGGCACGUACCAGCAUGCCCG
rnacentral:lncRNA from 1 species